AUUGAACGCUGGCGGCAUGCUUUACACAUGCAAGUCGAACGGUAACAGGGUGCUUGCACCGCUGUCGAGUGGCGAACGGGUGAGUAAUGCGUCGGAACGUGCCGAGUAGUGGGGGAUAACGCAGCGAAAGUUGUGCUAAUACCGCAUACGUACUGAGGUAGAAAGUGGGGGACCUUCGGGCCUCACGCUAUUCGAGCGGCCGAUGUCUGAUUAGCUAGUAGGUGAGGUAAAGGCUCACCUAGGCGACGAUCAGUAGCGGGUCUGAGAGGAUGAUCCGCCACACUGGGACUGGGACACGGCCCAGACUCCUACGGGAGGCAGCAGUGGGGAAUUUUGGACAAUGGGCGAAAGCCUGAUCCAGCCAUGCCGCGUGUCUGAAGAAGGCCUUCGGGUUGUAAAGGACUUUUGUCAGGGAGGAAAUCCCUAGUGCUAAUAACACUGGGGGAUGACAGUACCUGAAGAAUAAGCACCGGCUAACUACGUGCCAGCAGCCGCCGUAAUAC
rnacentral:rRNA from 1 species